CCCUUAGAUGUUCUGGGCUGCACGCGCGCUACACUGAAGCUAUCAACACGUUUUCCCUCCCUGAGAAGGGCGGGUAACCUUUUGAAUCAGCUUCGUGGUAGGGAUCGGGGCCUGCAAUUGUUCCCCGUGAACCAGGAAUUCCUAGUAGACGCGAGUCAUAAGCUCGCAUCGAUUAAGUCCCUGCCCUUUGUACACACCGCCCGUCGCUACUACCGAUUGAACGUUUUAGUGAGGCAUUUGGACCGACGCAUCUCAGUUUAACCGCUGGUUUGUGUUGGAAAGACUUCCAAACUUGAGCGUUUAGAGGAAGUAGAAGUCGUAACA
rnacentral:rRNA from 1 species